GUCCCAAUUCGAGGGCUGCAGCCUCCGAAGGCUGGUUUUAAGGCCGCAUACGUCACUUCCGGUGAAAGAAGGCCUGUCCCAUUUCAUUUUUAUGUCAUGCAGCCUUCAAAUGCAGCCCUAAAACCGGCCUCGUUUCCAUGGAAAUGGGGCCGCGAACGGAGGACACAUCCGAGUAUCCUUCGCAGCCUUCAGUAUCCCAGCAUGCACCGCGCGGCGGCAGUCAGAUGUUCGAAAACACGGAGCAAAAAGCCGGUCCCGAGAGCGGAGAAAAACAUCCUCCUGUAUGAGGACACGACACACUGCAGGGGCCACAGAACUGUUGGCUGACAAGAUGCUUGUGAUUCAUAAAAUGGGUCAAAUGCAGAUGACAAAGUAAAGCCAACACUGAGCUGGAGGUGCUGACCCAGACUCCUGCCAACGAUUAGGUUUUCACUCUACAGGACAGAACUUUGAAUCAAUCAGACGCAACAACCAUUCUGCUCUUCCUCCUCCAGAAGACGAGAGACACAUCACACUGAGUGGUCCAAGUCCACUGUCCAUGUCUCCACUGUCCAUGUCUCCA